GACUCGGUGGCGUAGUUGUAGAGCACGCGUCUUCCUUUAGGAUGAAACGCGGGUUCGAUUCCCGCUUGAGGCC